rnacentral:rRNA from 1 species
UACAGAGGUCUCAAGCGUUGUUCGGAUUCAUUGGGCGUAAAGGGUGCGUAGGUGGCGCCGUAAGUCAGGUGUGAAAUUUCGGAGCUUAACUCUGAAACUGCAUUUGAUACUGCGGUGCUUGAGGACUGGAGAGGAGACUGGAAUUCACGGUGUAGCAGUGAAAUGCGUAGAUAUCGUGAGGAAGACCAGUGGCGAAGGCGGGUCUCUGGACAGUUCCUGACACUGAGGCACGAAGGCCAGGGGAGCAAACGGG